UAAAAAGAGAGGCUAGAGAGUCUGUUGAUGAGUCUUUACUUGUUUCCGAGGUAUCCAUUCUUUUCUUACUAUAAUACCUUGUUUUGACUGUAUCGUACUGUGUAUCAUUUGAUAACCCAAUAAAUCACCUAUUUCUUUUCUGGUUCAAAUAGAAUUAAAAAUGGAAGAAUUUCAAGGAUAUUUAGAACUAGAUAGAUAUCAGCAACAUGACUUCCUAUACCCACUUAUCUUUCGGGAGUAUAUUUAUGCACUUGCUCAUGAUCAUGGUUUAAAUAGAUCGAUUUUGUUGGAUAAUGUAGGUUAUGAUAAUAAAUCUAGUUUACUAAUUAUAAAACGUUUAAUUAGUCGAAUGUAUAAACAGAAUCAUUUUUUUAUUUCCGCUAAUGAUUCUAACCAAAAAAAAAAAAAUUGGGGUACAACAAAAAUCUGUAUUCUCAAAAAAUAUCGGAGGGAUUCACCGUCAUUGUGGAAAUUUCGUUUUCCCUACGAUUAGUAUCUUCCUUAGAGGCGACAGAAACCGUAAAAUCUU
rnacentral:lncRNA from 1 species